rnacentral:rRNA from 1 species
ACGCUGGCGGCAGGCUUAACACAUGCAAGUCGAACGGUAACAGGGAUUAGCUUGCUAAUCUGCUGACGAGUGGCGGACGGGUGAGUAAUGCUUGGGAAUCUGGCUUACGGAGGGGGAUAACUACGGGAAACUGUAGCUAAUACCGCGUAAAAUCUUCGGAUUAAAGGGUGGGACUUUCGAGCCACCUGCCAUAAGAUGAGCCCAAGUGGGAUUAGGUAGUUGGUUAGGUAAAGGCUGACCAAGCCGACGAUCUCUAGCUGGUCUGAGAGGAUGACCAGCCACACUGGAACUGAGACACGGUCCAGACUCCUACGGGAGGCAGCAGUGGGGAAUAUUGCACAAUGGGGGGAACCCUGAUGCAGCCAUGCCGCGUGAAUGAAGAAGGCCUUCGGGUUGUAAAGUUCUUUCGGUGACGAGGAAGGUUGAUAGGUUAAUAGCCUAUCAAAUUGACGUUAAUCACAGAAGAAGCACCGGCUAACUCCGUGCCAGCAGCCGCGGUAAUACGGGGGGUGCGAGCGUUAAUCGGAAUAACUGGGCGUAAAGGGCACGCAGGCGGUGACUUAAGUGAGAUGUGAAAGCCCCGAGCUUAACUUGGGAAUUGCAUUUCAUACUGGGUCGCUAGAGUACUUUAGGGAGGGGUAGAAUUCCACGUGUAGCGGUGAAAUGCGUAGAGAUGUGGAGGAAUACCGAAGGCGAAGGCAGCCCCUUGGGAAUGUACUGACGCUCAUGUGCGAAAGCGUGGGGAGCAAACAGGAUUAGAUACCCUGGUAGUCCACGCUGUAAACGAUGUCGAUUUGGGGAUUGGGCUUUGAGCUUGGUGCCCGUAGCUAACGUGAUAAAUCGACCGCCUGGGGAGUACGGCCGCAAGGUUAAAACUCAAAUGAAUUGACGGGGGCCCGCACAAGCGG